rnacentral:tRNA from 2 species
GUGACCGUAGCUCAAAGGUAGAGUCCUGGAUUGUGAUUCCAGUUGUUGUGGGUUCGAGUCCCAUCGGUCACCCCA